CCGAGAGGAGUUUAUUCGUUAUGAACGCCGGGAAAGCACUAGAUCCUGAAACAUGAAACAGUUCAGCGCAGUCAUUCAAUGCUGGCAAGAUGGGAUACGCCCCACGAUGUGAAGCUUUUUCAGAAAAACCAUUCAGGGUUCGAGUUCCCGAGGGAGUGCGUGGACUACCCGCCCAAACUGUCUGCAAUCAUCCGGAAAGAGCAAUGAAUGCGAGCAGAGCCUUCCACUCAGAGCCGGACUGGAUUCCCCCUCCCGCCCACAUCGCCCAUCAAUCAUUGCUGACAGCUAGCGUUGCUCAUUCCAGGGCAGCGUCGAGGAGAGAAGAUAAUACAGACAACAGCUUGCUGAAAUUAAGAUAGGCUGGAAAAUAGUCAACAGGUCCUUGAAGAGGAUCAAAUGCCGCAGCGAGAAUCGAUGGUAAUGGUGGUAUUCUUACCCAGGGUUCCGAGCGCUUUGGAAAGGGCUCCGCUCCUGGAAUGGUGGCUGACAUUGCAGCGGGCAGGAAAGAAUCAGGUCUCGCAGAUGAGGACCCGGAACUCCACAGAAGCUGCCUGACUUGCUGAGCUCCUUCAGCAGUUUAUAUGUUUUGAUACAGACUGACAAGGAUGUCGUGAGGAGUUGAGUCUGGCAGGAGGAGAGAGAGCAGCGCACCGCGUGUGCGCAGCCCUCCGGUGAAAAAUGAUAUCGUAUCUGUUAAAUAGGGGCCGUGGACAAUUCUGAUUUGAUGGAGAAUGGACGUGAAAGCACAGAGGAACAUCUGCAAAAAAUUUCUGAAACGCUCGUUCGCUGCUGUCGUUACUGUGUGGUUCGGAAUCUUUCGGAGGGAAGGCCUCAAAAUCCCCGGCCUUGCCUGCUUUUGGCAACCGAGAAGGAGGUCGAAUCGUUCGGAUAGAGAUGGCGCUCAGUACUCAGUGUCGGAGAGCUGAUCAGAGCUCGAAGUUCUCGGAUGACUCAGAGUCGGACUGUGGUCAGCAUGGCAGGGAGAGUUUUUCUUCCUUCUCUCCGUCUGCGUGAGAUGUGGGACAUUUGAGAGACUUUGAACUUUACUGUGCUCACGGACUUCUUCAUCAAGUUAUGGUAUUGUUACACUGUUUGUAACUAUUUGUUAUAAUUAUGUGGUUUUGUCAGUUUUUUCAGUCUUGGUUUGUCCUGUGU